UACGUAGGGGGCAAGCGUUGUCCGGAAUCAUUGGGCGUAAAGCGCGCGUAGGCGGCCCUGUAAGUCCGUUGUGAAAGUCAAAGGCUCAACCUUUGAAAGCCGAUGGAUACUGCAGGGCUAGAGUCCGGAAGAGGGGAGUGGAAUUCCUGGUGUAGCGGUGAAAUGCGCAGAUAUCAGGAAGAACACCAAUGGCGAAGGCAGCUCUCUGGGACGGUACUGACGCUGAGACGCGAAAGCGUGGGGAGCGAACAGG
rnacentral:rRNA from 1 species